rnacentral:rRNA from 1 species
AGGGAAUCUUCCGCAAUGGACGAAAGUCUGACGGAGCAACGCCGCGUGAGUGAUGAAGGUUUUCGGAUCGUAAAGCUCUGUUGCCAGGGAAGAACGUCUUCUGGAGUAACUGCUACAGGAGUGACGGUACCUGAGAAGAAAGCCCCGGCUAACUACGUGCCAGCAGCCGCGGUAAUACGUAGGGGGCAAGCGUUGUCCGGAAUUAUUGGGCGUAAAGCGCGCGCAGGCGGCUGUUUAAGUCUGGUGUUUAAUCCUGGGGCUCAACCCCGGGUCGCACUGGAAACUGGAUGGCUUGAGUGCAGAAGAGGAGAGUGGAAUUCCACGUGUAGCGGUGAAAUGCGUAGAGAUGUGGAGGAACACCAGUGGCGAAGGCGACUCUCUGGGCUGUAACUGACGCUGAGGCGCGAAAGCGUGGGGAGCAAAC